AAAAGAUAAGCUAAAUACACUAAGGCUAAUGGGCUCAUACCCGAAAAGAAAAAUAAAUUUAUAUAAAUUUUA
rnacentral:tRNA from 1 species